ACAAUAGGGUUGUGUGUCAUAGGAACACCCUCAGAGAGGCCCAUCAGAGGACUACCUAUAAACCAAAGCUGAAUUUAGUUUGUACUAAAAUACAGUAUUGUUACAUUAUAAUACAAACUAUAAAAUAUCCCUGAGUCCACACUGUAUAAAUAGAUGAUUCAAUAAAUAAUUAAGUGUGGAAAAUAGACAAAUCUCCCAUACAGAAAGAUUCCAAAUAAUUUAUGCAGUUACUUAGCUCUUUGAGAUGGUGCAUAACUAUUCAUUCCUUAAACAGUCAUUUCAGAGAGUAAAGUAUGGAAAAGGUGGCAAAGACAUUAACUUUACAGUGGAAAAUUCUGACAAACACUGCUUCAGUCAGUUGUUCAGUGUUAACAUCAAUAUGUCAUGUUGAUGGUAUGUACCUAGAUAUGAUGUAAUGGUAAUUACAUUUUACCAUUUUGAUCUACCUCCUAAGAACUUAAAACCCUAGUCUCUUUACAAGAUAAAUGGCCAACCAAUCUCAAUUGAAAAUUAUUCCUCAAAAUGCUUGACCAUUAUUCCUUAAAACUCUCAAGGUCAUCAGAAACAAGGAAAGUCUGAUAAAAUCUUAUCCAAGAGGAUUUUUUUUUUUCUUUUUAGGGCUGCACCCACAGCAUAUAGAAGUUCCCAGGCUAGGGGUGAAAUCUGAGCUGCAGUUGCCUGCCUAAGCCACAGUCACAGCAAUACCAGAUCCAAGCCAUGUCUGCGAAUUACACCACAGCUCAUUACAACCCUGGAUCCUUAACCCACUGAGUGGGGACAGGGAUUGAACCCACAUUCUCAUGGAUCCUAGUCAGGUUAGUUACCACUGAGCCAUGAUGAGAACACCUCUGAGAAUAUUUUAAAGAGACAUGAUGACUGAAUGUCGUGUGAUAUACUGGAUGGAAUCUUGGAACAGAAAAAGGAUAUUAGAUAUUUAAAAAAGGAAAUAAAGUGUGUAGUUUAGUUGACAACAGUGUAUCAAUAUUGAUUUAUAAAUUAUAACAAAUGCACCACAUUAAGUCAAGAAUGAUAAAAAUCAUAUAUAGUAACUAUUUUCACAAUUUUUCUAUAAAUCUAGACUGUUCUAAAGUUGAAAGUUAUUUGAAAAAUAACGACAUGAUUCCUACCCUUCAAAAAGCUAGAAUGUUGUAAGGAAAUUGAUGCAUAUGUAGGAAUAUAGAGGAAUCAACAAACCUCAAGGCUUUUAAAAACAUGAAAUUCUACUACUGUUUUAUUUUUCUUCUAAAUAACACUGCCUAUGUUUGGUAUACAGUUCUCUGAAUUUUGACAAUUUCUAAAUUUAUGUAACCACUAUCACAAUCAGAAUACUGGACAGUUCUCUUGUCCCCCAAAAUUCCUUUUUUAACACUUCUCUCAGACUCUGAACGCUUGACAGUCAGUUGUUCUACAUCACUAUCAUUUGGUCAUUUUAAAAUCAUAUGGUAUAUAACUGUUUGAGACAACCUUAUUUCCCUUUCAAUUUAUAUAAGUUGUGUGAAUCAAUAGUUUUCCCCUUUUUAUCACUCAGUGUUAUACUUCUGUAUGGAACUACCACAGUCUGUUUAUUCAUUCAUUUAUUGAAAAACAUUUGGGUUGUUUCUGGUUGUGGGCAAUUAUGAAUGGAGCUGUUACUCAUGCACAGAUUUUCGUGUGAAGAUAAGCUUUAAUAUACAUAAGUUAAUUACCUUUGAGUGGGACUUCAAGAUCACUGCACUAAGUGUAAAUUUAACUUCAUGAGAAAAUUUCAAGUUAUUUUCCAGUUCGUCUCUUAACAUUUUGGUUUCUCUAUCAGCAAUGUAUGAGCGUUCCAGUUGCUCCACACCCUCACCAACACUUGAUUUUUUUUUUUUUUUCCUUAAUGUUCUUUUUUUUAAAUUUUAAUUUUAGCUAUUUUAAGAUCAUUCAUUGUGGGUUUAAUUAAUAAUUUUGAAUAUUUUUUCAUGUUUAUAUUUGCUAUCAGUAUAGCCUCUUUGGUAAUGUAUUCAUGUCUUUUCUCUCUUUUGGUUUUUUUAUUUUUAUUAGAAUAUAGUUGAUUGACAGUGUUGUGUCAAUUUCUGCAUAAAUUGAAUUGUGUUUCUUACUGCAGCAUUUUGAAAGUAACAUACUUUUUGUUUUUUUUGUCUUUUAGGGCUGCACCCGCAGCAUAUGGAGGUUCCCAGGCUAGGGGUCCAAUCCGAAGUGUAGCUGCUGGCCUACACCACAGCCACAGCAACACAACACAGUAUCCAAGUCGUGGCUAUGACCUACACCACAGCUCACAGCAACACUGGAUCCUUAACCCACUGAGCAAGGCCAGGGAUCGAACCUGCAUCCUCAUGGAUGUAGUCGGUUAUGCUGAUCACUGAGUCAUGAUGGGAACUCCCAUACAUUCUUAAGACAAGAUUUUUGUUGGAUAUUUAUUUCUUUGUUUAUAGUGGCCUUUUUGUUAUAUUUCAUUAUCUCAGUAUCCUUCACUGCACAAUAUUUUCAAUUUUUAUAAAGUUCAGUGUAUUAAUUUUUAUAAGGAACAUGGUUUUGAUGUCAUGUAAAAAAGUAUUUACUUAACUCUUAAUCAUGAAGCUUUUUACCUAUAUUUUGUUCUAAAGCCUUAUAGAUUCUUAUUGUCUAUUUAUAUAUAUCAUCCAUUAUGAGCUAAUUUUUGUAUAAGGAAUGAGGUUUAGAUGUGGUUCAUAUUUUUUAUAUGUGGAUGUCCAAUAUACCCAAAUUGUUUGUUGAGAAGGUGAUGCCGUGUUUUACCAGUGACAUUACUUCAUUGCUGUCUAUUUUAAUCACAUCUCUUUUCUAGCCUUCUAGUUACUGAUAAUUCACUCUCUCACUGUUGCUUUCUCUGUAUAUCUCUCUCAUACACACACAAUCACACACAUUUUUGAUGAAUGAGAGAGGGUUUGGAUACAUACAGAUAUUAAACCUAAAAAGAAUUAAGAGGAAAGAUAGCUAAUUGAUGAGAAUUGACUGAUAAUAACUUAGGAAUUGGAAAAACUGAAAAGCAGAUUUCAAGGGCACAAAUGACCCCAGAAUUUCAAUUCCAUAACAAACACGAAAUAUUUAAACAUAAGAUUUGCUUAUUUUUGUUCAGGUAAUAAUGUGUUUUAUCUGUACACAACUUGUAAAAUGAGUAUUUAUGCAACAUAUAUGACUAUCUAUACAUAUAUUAUAAUCCUAUUUGAGAUUUAUUGGAAAACAAACAUAUGUAUAUAUAUAUAUGAUAUAUAUAUAUAACAUACAUAUAGCAUGUAUAUAUAUGUGUGUGUGUGAGUGUAUACAUAUAUAUAUAUAUAUGUAUAUGUAUAUAUCCUAGAAGUUAUUCUUAAAAUAAAGCUUUAAAUUGGUAAAGUAUCCUUCCAUAUGCUUAUUGGACUGUUCCUAUUUAUUAAUUUUUAAAUUAUUUUUUAUUUCUUAUGGCCACAUCCACAACAUAUGAAAGUUUCUGGGCUAGGGAUUGAAUCUGAACCAUACCAUAGCAAUGCCUGAUCCUUUAACCCACUGCACCAGGUCCAGGGGUCGAACCUGAAACUCCACAUUGAAGUGAGCCAUACCUCCGCAGGGACAUGAGUUGCUGCAUUCAGAUUCUUAACCCACUCUGCCACAGCAGGAACUCUGAACUGUUUCUACUUAAAAAGUAUUUUUUUAGAGAGACUCGUGUAAAAUCUUAAAAGUUCUAUGAGGGAGCAUUAUGAAAUAAACAUGAUGAUAAUGUAGCAUGAGACAUUCGUUAAGCCUAUGACGAUUCCAUGCUAUUGAAAAUUGUCAUUAUACAUGUUUUGACAAAAAUAUGGAUAUUGUAAAAAAAAGAACAAAAUAAAACCUGUUGGGUGAAAGUAGUCCAGAGAGGCCAAUGUGGAUGGCACCCUUCCUUUUCCCAUAAUUGCACUGUAAAAUUUGAUUAGAGUUUAUUAUUGGCAGCCUCAGUACAGAAGAAAGUUUUGGUCUCAUUGUGGCUAACCUAACUAUUUAAAAGCUUGACUUCCUCCAUUGAUUUGCAUCUGGUUUGUUAUCAUGGUUUCAAGCUUAUGUAAAAGAUUUUUUAUCUGGCAAUAAACAGCAUCAGGAUAUUCAUAGAAUUUCAUAUACUAAUCUCAACAUUUGAGAGGAAUCUGAGUGUCAAUAUGGACAUUUUAAAUAAAUCAUGAGAAUUUUUUGGAUAUCCUAAAUCGAAGCCUGAUGAGUGAAGACACAGAAAAUAUCUUCCAUUUCAUCUUCAAUUUAUUAACAUUGAAGCUAAAAUACCAAUGUAAUAAAUCAUUGCUACUUAUAACACAGUCAUUUUAUAAUGAUCUGAACUACAUAUGUAAAUGGUUAAAAGCUUAGACUCCCUGGAGGAAAAUUUAGCUGAAAUAUCCCUUUUUCUAGGAAGUCAUCUCUGGAAGCCUUUGUCCCAGGGGAUACCCGAUCUUUUGCAAUGCAUUUAACCUUGUAGUAUAAAUGCACAUCUAUUUGUAUGGAAGUGAAGACCAAAGACAGAGAUGCAAUGUCUUUUUUGCCUUUGUACUCAAAGCACUUCAUGCACUGUAUGACUUGUGGUGGCUAUUCAAUAAAUAUUGUUAAGUUAAUGAGUGGAAGGAUGAAGCCUGAGGAAACAAAUAAAUGGUGUGACUUAUUAAUAUAUUUAUGAAACUCUCAGAAAGUUCAUGCUUAGCAGAGAAUAGAGAUUUUGUUAGUGGUGCACAAGAUAACAUAUUUUUUGCCAUAUUCAUUUGUAAGAUAGCUUGUGAAUUCAUAAUAUACUGCAUUCUGGAAAAUGGGUCAUUUGAUUUUUCCAAACAUCUUUGUAAAUACCCUCAUAUAACCAAUAACGCCAAGACAUGGUGGCCUGAAAACUGACAUUUCACAAUCAUGUCAGUCAGCAUCUUAUGCUAAAUGCAGCUGGCCUGUUCUGCUGCUCUCAUCCAACUGAGUUACCUGGAGGCUCAAAUGAGGCUACGUAUUCUAAGGUGGACGUAUAUAUACAUGUGUGGCAGCUCAGGUUGGCUACUGGUUGGAUUACAUGUUUUUAGCAGGCUAGCCCUGGCUUAUUCAUUAUUCCAGGGAAGAAUUUCCAGCUGUGAGAGAGGACAACUCUCACUGUGUGAGUGUCUGUCGAAUUCUUCCUUGUGUCAUAUUUGCUAAUAUCUUGUUAGUCAAAGGAAGUCCUAGGGACAACCUCAAGUCAAUGUCAAAGGCAUAUGAACAGAGGGAAUUAUAAUUAACAGUGGGGACAUUGUUAUACAAUGUAACAUAUGAAGUAUACUGCCUUGGCAAAUUGUUCAUCAUAUGACAACAGUACAGUGCACAGCCUAGAUUAUAUCUAACAGUGAAAUCAUGGCUCAUUCACAGUAGGUUCUAUUCAGGAAUAAUAAUAAUGAUAAAAAAAAAAAAACCCAGGAAACAAGGUGAAAAUUACCUUCCAAUUAUUCCCAAGUACUGGAUCGGGAUUUUUGGCAAACCAUUAUGAAGCAUAUUUUCUUCUGGGAUUAUAAUAGGACACCUAAUUGAAAUGUUUUUCAAAUAAGAUUUUUUAAAGUACUUAUGCAGCAUAACCUAAUUAUAAGGCAAUCUCUGACUUAUGUAUAUUUCAUCAAUUUGUUCAUUACUUAUGUGUAGUCAACCCAAGAUGUGAAACUACUAAAACUCUUCUAAAUGUAUUCUCUCCCUAAGGACUUCUAUUUAUGUCAGGAAAUCAUUCUCUUCCCACUCUUCCCACAGAUUAGUUCACAUAAACCCCAAUAAUUCAUCAUAUGUCAGCUUUCCCUGGGAAAUCACCCACCAAACAAGGUCAGUGUCCUCUCUUAUUAACAUUUACUGCAAUCAGAACCUUCCUUAUAAUACCACUUUAGUCAUGCUUAGCUUAGUCAAGUCAAUAUCCAUGCUCCCUCUACUUCAGAGCAUGCUCCUUGAAAGCAAACCCCUGUUUUGCUUAUAUUACAUUCCCAGCAUCUAAAUUAGGUGCUUAAUAAGUACUUCUACAUUUCACAUACAAAUUUGUGAUUCACAUAUAUCCUGGAUUCUUGAAUUCAAGGUUAUAAAUCUUUGUAUCUUCAGAGUCAAACAUAAACAGUACCCACAAUUAGUGUUCAAUAAAAAUUUAUUAAACUAAAUUUUAUUACAAAUUUGACAGCAUUUUUGGUCUUGUGCAAUAACCUAAUUACCAUAUCCAAUAUUGUUCCUAGAGGGAAAAUAUCUUCUGAAUUUUAAAAAUAUCCUAGUCCCAUUGGGGCUCAGCAGUUAACAAACCCAGCUAACAUCUCUGAGGACAUGGGUUUGAUCCCUGGCCUCGGUCACUGGCUUAAGGAUCUGGCAUUGCUGUGAGCUGUGGUGUAGGUUGCAGACGUGGAGCCCAUGUUGCUGUGGCUGUGGAGUAGGCUGGCAGCUACAGCUCCAAUUUGACCCAUAGCCUGGGAACCUUCAUAUGCCACAGGUGUGGCCCUAAAAGACAAAAAAAAAAAAAAA
rnacentral:lncRNA from 1 species